rnacentral:rRNA from 1 species
AGUGAACGCUGGCGGUAGGCCUAACACAUGCAAGUCGAACGGCAGCACAGUAAGAGCUUGCUCUUACGGGUGGCGAGUGGCGGACGGGUGAGGAAUACAUCGGAAUCUACUUUUUCGUGGGGUAUAACGUAGGGAAACUUACGCUAAUACCGCAUACGACCUACGGGUGAAAGCAGGGGAUCUUCGGACCUUGCGCGAUUGAAUGAGCCGAUGUCGGAUUAGCUAGUUGGCGGGGUAAAGGCCCACCAAGGCGACGAUCCGUAGCUGGUCUGAGAGGAUGAUCAGCCACACUGGAACUGAGACACGGUCCAGACUCCUACGGGAGGCAGCAGUGGGGAAUAUUGGACAAUGGGCGCAAGCCUGAUCCAGCCAUACCGCGUGGGUGAAGAAGGCCUUCGGGUUGUAAAGCCCUUUUGUUGGGAAAGAAAAGCAGCAGGUUAAUACCCCGCUGUUCUGACGGUACCCAAAGAAUAAGCACCGGCUAACUUCGUG